CGCUCGUAGUCGGAUUUCGGGGCGGGCCGACCGGUCUGCCGAUGGGUAUGCACUGGCCGGCGCGUCCUUCCACCCGGAGACCGCGCCUACUCUUAACUGAGCGGGCGCGGGAGACGGGUCUUUUACUUUGAAAAAAUCAGAGUGUUUCAAGCAGGCAGUCGCUCUUGCAUGGAUUAGCAUGGGAUAAUGAAAUAGGACUCUGGUGCUAUUUUGUUGGUUUCGAACACCGGAGUAAUGAUUAACAGGGACAGUCAGGGGCACUCGUAUUCCGCCGAGAGAGGUGAAAUUCUCAGACCAGCGGAAGACGAACCACUGCGAAAGCAUUUGCCAGGGAUGUUUUCACUGAUCAAGAACGAAAGUUAGGGGAUCGAAGACGAUCAGAUACCGUCGUAGUCUUAACCAUAAACCAUGCCGACUAGGGAUUGGAGGAUGUUCCAUUUGUGACUCCUUCAGCACCUUUCGGGAAACUAAAGUCUUUGGGUUCCGGGGGGAGUAUGGUCGCAAGGCUGAAACUUAAAGGAAUUGACGGAAGGGCACCACCAGGAGUGGAGCCUGCGGCUUAAUUUGACUCAACACGGGGAAACUUACCAGGUCCAGACAUUGUGAGGAUUGACAGAUUGAGAGCUCUUUCUUGAUUCGAUGGGUGGUGGUGCAUGGCCGUUCUUAGUUGGUGGAGUGAUUUGUCUGGUUAAUUCCGUUAACGAACGAGA
rnacentral:rRNA from 1 species